UAUUGCCAAUAACCUGCCGAUAUACACUUACGGUAGGCAUAUGGGUGCGUUUCAGCGAGAAAAUAUUUAGGAGACUUCAUCAUAACAAAUGCUUUUCCGUCAUAAAAAGGGGGAACACCACACAAUUAGCGGAGUGUAGGAACGGAAUAUAAAAUCCGAAAGAUUGCGCCGGAACUUCCGGAUGACCGUGGUUGCUGUCUUUUCCGCACAACUGGUGCAAACUGCAUCUUCGUUGAAUUGCAAGGAGCGCCUGUAAAAGAAAAGCAAAGACCUGUAGGCCCCAUCUACAUCUAGCCCUGCCUUCCCGGAUUAGAAGGCUAGAGGGACUUUCUGUUCGGUCCCUCAGCCGCGAUGAUUGCCGGCAGGAUCGCUGCAGCCCGGCCGGCGAAGCCUUUGAAGUCCCGCUAAAAUGGAACCUUCGUCUGCCGCCGGAAUUCUGCUUUGAACUGCAGACGGGCCUAAAUUUAGGCCUUUCACGGAAGCCCCAGAGAAAGGCAGCGUGGAUGUUAUCAGCAUAUUAUCGCCUGUUAUGUAAAAAGAAAAUAAUAAAUAAAAUGCUCUGUUUUUCCCCCCUGUCUAAA